rnacentral:rRNA from 1 species
CCUACGGGAGGCAGCAGUGAGGAAUUUUCCGCAAUGGGCGAAAGCCUGACGGAGCAAUACCGCGUGAGGGAUGAAGGAUUUUGGUCUGUAAACCUCUUUUCUCAAGAAAGAAGUUCUGACGGUACUUGAGGAAUAAGCAUCGGCUAGCUCCGUGCCAGCAGCCGCGGUAAUACGGGGGAUGCAAGCGUUAUCCGGAAUGAUUGGGCGUAAAGCGCCUGUAGGUUGUUUAUUAAGUCCGUUGUUAAAGCCUAGGGCUCAACCCUAGAAAAGCAAUGGAAACUAGUAGACUAGAGUAUGGCAGGGGUAGAGGGAAUUUCUAGUGUAGCGGUGAAAUGCGUAGAUAUUAGAAAGAACACCGGUGGCGAAAGCGCUCUACUGGACCAUUACUGACACUCAGAGGCGAAAGCUAGGGUAGCAAAAGGGAUUAGAUACCCCUGUAGUCCUAGCCGUAAACGAUGGAUACUAGAUGUUGUGCAUUAUGUACAGUAUCGUAGCUAACGCGUUAAGUAUCCCGCCUGGGGAGUACGCUCGCAAGGGUGAAACUCAAAAUGAAAUUGACGGCUGAGAGNGCAGACGACACGAGGAGAG